rfam:Neotoma lepida isolate 417 scaffold_856, whole genome shotgun sequence.
GCCUGGCUAGCUCAGUUGGUAGAGCAUGGGACCCUUAAUCCCAGGGUCAUGGGUUUGUGCUCCACGUUGGGUG